rnacentral:rRNA from 1 species
ACGCUGGCGGCGUGCUACACAUGCAGUCGUACGAGAAAAUCCGCUUCGGCGGGUGAGUAGAGUGGCGCACGGGUGCGUAACGCGUGGAUAAUCUGCCUUUAAGCCGGGAAUAACCCAUCGAAAGGUGGGCUAAUACCCGAUAAUGCUAUGGAGCUUCGGUUUUAUAGCCAAAGAGAGCCUCUGCUUGCAAGCCCUCACUUAGAGAUGAGUCCGCGUACCAUUAGCUAGUUGGCAGGGUAAUGGCCUACCAAGGCGACGAUGGUUAGCUGGUCUGAGAGGAUGAUCAGCCACACUGGAACUGAGACACGGUCCAGACUCCUACGGGAGGCAGCAGUGAGGAAUAUUGCGCAAUGGGGGCAACCCUGACGCAGCAACGCCGCGUGAGUGAGGAAGGUUUUCGGAUCGUAAAGCUCUGUCGGGUGGGAAGAAGUGUAUGGAGGUUAAUAGCCUUUGUACUUGACGGUACCGCCAAAGGAAGCACCGGCUAACUCCGUGCCAGCAGCCGCGGUAAUACGGGGGGUGCAAGCGUUGUUCGGAAUCAUUGGGCGUAAAGAGCGUGUAGGCGGCUAGGCAAGUCAGAUGUGAAAUCCCUGGGCUUAACCCAGGACGUGCAUUUGAAACUGUUUGGCUUGAGUAAGGAAGAGGGAAGUGGAAUUCCUGGUGUAGAGGUGAAAUUCGUAGAUAUCAGGAGGAACACCGGUGGCGUAAGCGACUUCCUGGUCCUAUACUGACGCUGAGACGCGAGAGCGUGGGGAGCAAACAGGAUUAGAUACCCUG